CGUCAGACGCACGCUGUUACGCAGAUGGUUGUGAAGGAUUGAAAGCAGCCGCCAGUAGGACUCCGAGGCUAAGCGAACAAAUGGCAGGUCACACAAGCACUUAUAACAAGGGAAUUUAUUAGCUGCUUAACCUCGUGCUGUACGGACUGCACCUAGCUGAAAGAAAAGCCCUGUACAUCGGGUUAAGUCGUUUACAGGAAAUAUGGCAUCUGUGGUAGAUUUAAAGUCAAAGGAGGAAAAAGAUGCAGAGUUGGACCGAAAGAUUGAAGCUUUACGUAAAAAAAAUGAGGCUCUAGUCAAGAGACACCAGCUCAUAGAGGAAGAUCGCAGGAGAGCUGAACAAGAGGGAAUCGCAGUCACAACACCCAGAAAAGGGAAACAUCUGGAGGCAGAGCUAGACAAAAGCCAUAAAGAAAAAGAAAAUGUAUCCGUUACUGUAGAUAUCUCUGCUGGGGAAAAACGGGUUAUUGAUAAUGCAAACCCUGCCAAAACUUCUCAGGCCUCUUCAAAUAAGGAUAGCACAUCAAGAAGCCCAACUCAGCGAAAAAGUGGUAGGAUAAGUGGGUUCUUGGGUGGAAGGGUACCCCACACAGAACAUCUAGCUGAACCAGUUAUGAAUGAUGGAGAUUCUUUGCAGCCUGAAAAAGGAAGAAUUUCGGGAGCAGAUGGACCAAGGAGAAACCAGCGUUUAUAUGGAGAUAUUUCAUCUCAAAGAGGAGGUUUAUCUCAUGGUGAGAGAGGGUCUGGAAGAGUUGGUGGAACCCCAGGGAGAGGUGGAAGUCCCAGAGGAAGUGGUGACCAUUCUUUGCCAUCAGACAAAAAGUCACAGGAGUGGCAGGAGAAACGAAAACAAAAUAUAGAACAGAUGAAUGAGGAAAUGGAGAAAAUUGCAGAAUAUGAACGAAGCCAACGGGGUGGCGUACGAGAGAAAAAUCCUAUCCGCAACUUUCUGGAUGAUCCCAGGCGCAUGGGGCCAUUCGCGGAUAGAGAUCGCAAGGAUGAUAGUCGCAGGCACAAUCGUAAUUGGGGUGGAGCUGAUUUUGAGAAAGUAAAAACUGGCAUGGACAAGGAGAAGGAGAGUCAUGGAAGAAGACCUGCAAUGAAGAACCAGAUGGAUGUGACUAUGUCAAUGACUGGUAGGGAAAGAGCAGAGUACAUGCGCUGGAAGAAGGAGCGGGAACAGAUAGACGAGGAGAGAAUGGCUCGUCAUCGCAAACCCACUGGGCAGUGGAGGCGGGAGUGGGAUGCAGAGAAAACAGAUACUAUGUUUAAGGACGGUGCCUCUCCACAUGUGGAAGAUGAGCCAGUCAGCAGGAGAGAAAAGGGAAAAGGAGGUGCUCCAAAGCCUCCAACCAUGGGUGAAUUCUUCCCUGGGAACAUUAUGGAAUCCAGUCAAAAGAGAGACCGGCAACGUGGUCAGGGACGAAACAAACCGUACAGCAUGCAUGAUAGCCGCUGGGAGGAGCCAGAAGAUGAGAAUGAAAAGGUGACAGAGGUAGCCGAGAAAGAGACUUGUGUGGAGAAAGCACAGGAUAUAAAUGUUGAGGCUGAGAAACAAUGCAAAACAGAAGUCUCAGAGGAGAUAGAAGUAGAAGAUGCUGAUGAUGAUGUAGAAGAUGAUGAUGGAUGGGAAGAUGUUGAUGGAGAUGAAGAGGAGGACCCAGAAUGCUCAGAUACCUCAUUAACGGAGAAAGGCCCACCAGAAGAAAAGCCCACCAAAGAACAGAUACCACCUACUCAAAAUGAAACUCCUAAGCUGAACUUGACUCCAACUCAAAGUGAAGAUAAAUCUGCAGAAGUGCAACCCACAAGCCCAUUUCUACCUGAAACAAACAGGCUAACAUCUGACUGGGGAGAGGAGAUGGAGAUGGUAUCUCCCUUUGUAAGCAGCAGUGAAGACAGCCCUCCCAGACCAGCUACCUCCAAGGAUGUCUGCAUAGACAGAGGAUCUCAAGACCACUUCACGCAUACAGAUCCUGGGCCAGAAUUUGAAGUUUUUCCGAAAAAAAGCUGAAGGACUGACCCAGAAUGUGACAGAGGAUGUGGAAUGUACUUCACAUGGAUCCCAUCAAGCCAACACAGAUCAGGUUAAUGGGAAGAAGCAGACCCUUGAAAAUGAUAUUAAUGGUGUUGCAACAAAGAAUGUCUCAGCUCAUUCUCCUGUGGAAGAUGGGGAAAAAUCAUUUGCUGAUGGUGGAGGAGCAGAAGUGUUGUCAGACAUGCCCGGGCCUUCUCCUAAGGAACCUAACCAAGCUGAUGAAGAAAUCAACCCAGAGAUGGAGCAGGACAUUGCAGCCCCAACUUCAUCUUGAUCAACAUAAUCAUCAUGUGUUCUACAAGUCAAGCUGCAGAACAUUGAAUGCAACUGAAGCUAUCUUGUUACUAGUCAGCACUGGGAUUCAAGUGACUAUACAGCUAUUGCACUUUCUACUUCCCAUAACUUCCUGGUGUCACUUUGACGUUUAGUAACUUGUAUUGCACUUAAAUACAGCAGAGCUUUGGAUCUUUGUAGAUCCUGAAAUAGGGGAGGAGGCAUGCUGGAAUAGAUAAAAACAAAGCGAUCUCCUCAAGUGUUUAUUUGGAAAAGGCUUAAUAAACACUCUGGGAAAUCUCCUUGCUUUCACCUGUUUCUGUGGGCUACAGCAUGUAUUCUGGAACUGUAGAGAGGUACAGUAGGUCUCCACAUCUAGUUUUGUGUACACAGUGGGAAAAAUGAAGCCCCAGUGCUGAGAAAGUGUAUCAUGCUAUUAGCAAGAUCAUCUUAUAUCUAUAAUUUAAAUCUAUAAUUUAUAUCUCAUAUUCAGGUGAGGUUAUUCAAAAAGUUCAAAUGCUGUGGGAUCAGUGGCUAUAUUUGGAAACUCACAUGAACAUAGCUCUGAAGCUGUACUUGCCUAUAAUCCAUAGGUUUUUUGUCCACAAAAGUAAAAAAAAAACACAUUUCUGUAUAUGCAUUGGCAAACAGCCAUUUUCUGUUUUUUUUGUUUUUUUUUUAGUCAGACCACCCUCAUACAGAAUAAUUUAAGAUAAGACA